GAUCGUGGUCACGAUAGUAGAAGCAGUACUUAUUUGGGUCAUGACAAUACUUAGGUUUCAUUUGCAUCCUCGGAGGCUGAGGCAGCUCGGCUCGCAUCUCCAUCAAUACCUUCCCCUGAAAAUAUUCAAAGGUGUAUUAUUAGUAUAACACCUCGAAGGUGAGGGUUGUCGAUUCCUUCUUUGAGGACUUUAAGAUCGAUGAUUCUGAGGGGCUCCAUUUUUUCAUCUUUGGAAUG
rnacentral:lncRNA from 1 species